ensembl:lncRNA
GGUAUCACCAUUCCCUACACUUUGUUUCUGUAGGAAAUAAAGCUGAAAACAAAUUCCCAGUGGAGAAAUAAUCAGCAAAAAUCUUGAGGCUUUGUCCCUCUGGUGGAGAAAAAAACCUUUUAGCCCUCUCCCCAGGCCCCUCCAAAAUAGUCAGGAUUUGCAACAAAAUGUCAAGGACAUCCUUCCAGAUAUUCCUUAUCAGCAAGAUUUCUAGUGUGCACUGUGCAGCAAUGGAAGGAUAGUCCAUAGGCCAAAGAAAUCGAUAGCCCUAGAGCUGAAAAUGAAGUUAAACUAACGUCUCAAAUGCAAUCUCAAACUGUUUGACAAAAGAUAGACAGCAGACUUUGAUUAUAAGCAUGGUAUCUCCCCAUGGAAAUCAACUAAUGUGCUCCACAGGGAUUACAGAUACAGAAUCAUAGUCUCUAGAUGCUCCCCUUUAGCUGAUUGACGUGUCCUUUUGAGGUUUUAAUGGUUUGCUUAGUAGUUUGUCUUGAGCAGUGAAAUGAAUCAUUGUGGAGUAUGUGAAAUACUGAAUUAGACUUAGCGACCAUGUAAACCUGUUAUGCUUCUAAAAGGUCAGUAUAGCUUUUAUGAAGGAGUCCUGUCUUAUCAACCAUAAAGUUUAUUGGCAGGUCAGCAAGUUCUGUAAUUCCUUGCAAUAGUCUCAAAUUGUCCUAAACAUGGGCUAAGAAAGAGGAUCUCACAUGGACAAGGUGGGUAUAGUGUGAUCGGAACAUGCAAAUUGGUUGUAGUAAAUAGCUUUUGCCAUGAAGGGAGGAUGUUAUUUGAAUUUUGCAGAAAGUUGUGUUUGGCUUUGCUCUUGAACAUGUUUGCAAAUUAUGUAAGAAAAAGGUAAGCAAUGGGGUAAUAAACAAUCUUGAGUUACCUGGGAGUGUAGAGAUAAGAGUUGGUUACUGUAAUCAAAUAAAUGGGGUUUGGACAACAACAGAACAGAAGUAGGUAGGUUCUUUGCAUGGAAUGAUCCGACUGAUGGAUAUUGGUUAUUGUGCUUACACCAAAGGUAUACAGGAAAGACAAAAUAGUCAUCAGAUGGGAUCUGUAACAAAAAAGAAGGGUGAAUCUUCAUGAAACAAUGAAAGACUGGUGAAGUCUCGUGCCAAAGGAUAUUGUAAAUGCAGAGAGCUGACAUGAAAACUGGAGCAAUUACAGGAGAGAAAGUGGUGGCAAGUCACUUAAUGUAUAGAAUACAUAAUAAAAUUGAGUCAAAAAUCUUUGGAAGCCUGAACUGUAGUAGAUGAUAAUAUUUGUUUGCAGUAUUUUCCAUUGUCCCCCAGAUACCUGGAUUUAUUUACUGUCAGAGAGACUAUUGGGUUCCCUGAAGCAUUGCUUUGUCCCAGUAUUUUUAGGUCAUUUUCUUUUAAUUGGAAUUCCCUAGGUAGGGAUAAUAUCGUAUGGGAUCCCAGCAGUGAUCCAGUGAGAAUGGAGGAAUAUGGCCUUUUCCAUCCUACUUCACCAUAGAAAACACUCUACCAUGGAUGAGAUGCUGAUGGGUAAAGAUAGGGGUUUGCAAAGUUGUGAAGUGGUGCAAAUGUGUCCCCUUUGUGUACUGUUCUCACCAUCAGCUAAUUUUUUCCCACCUCUUCUGAGCAACGUUCUUGCCUCAACCUAAUUUCCACAUAGCUUGUCCUCUUACUCUCUCUGGGAUGUUUUCACUAUCAUCUCAUCCUUUCCCAGGCUGUUUUCCUCUUCCUUAAUAGUUCUCAUACUGGAAUACUGAAUUAAUCUGAAGCUAAGAUUUGCUUUUGUGAUCCUCUAAGAGUGUUGUUUGCAUCCAAAUCUCUGUUCUGUGCUGACCCAGACUUUGACUCUCUGACCAAUGUGGACAUAAAUAAAUAACACUACUUCUCUAGAAAUAUUUCUUUCUAAAUGGUAUGCCAUUUUAGGUGUCCCUUACCCAUUUUUGUCUGCCUUCUAUUUCAUUAAUCCCAUUUUAUUUUGUAAAUUAUGUUUUCUCUUUUGUUCUCUUUUAUACUAAAGAACUGUUGCAGUCUUUCAAAACUCCAAGUAGGUAAGAGAAAAAGUGCAGUAAAUCAAAAUAAAAUUACAAUGUCAAAAAAUCAGCACUCUGUGAUUAAAUGGGACUCUGUAGAGAUUCCCCUGCCUGAUAAUUGUACACUCCUCAUUUUGAUUUUUUAAUUUUUUUGUUUAACAUGUGCAUGAUGCCUCUAAAACGUUACCUGUGAACCUGUUUGGGGUGUUUGGAUUUGGUUUGGUGUUUUUUUUUUUUUUCCUUGGGGUUUUUUGGGGGGAUGAGGGGACCAUGGGGCUGGGGUGGUUUUUUGUUUGGUUUUUGAAGGAAUUUAUGCACCUACUGGCUGAUGGGGGAUCACCCUUCCUCGAGGCUGAAGCCAGCUGAGAGAGCGUUUUGGUGAUCCCCGUGAUGCACGGCUUCCCGAGUCACACAAAGUCUGAUGGAUCAAUCAUCCUUCCAGUGCCCAAGCCUGGCACCCUUUGCUGCAUUCAUUCCCUGGAGCGGGAGAAUGGCCAGUUCAUGUCCCUGACUGUCCAGCCCUUUCCUGCCUAGGAACUGCCUUGUAGAUUCUCUUCUUUUAACCCAUACCUUGUCGAAUAACAGUAAUGGCAGGCUCCAGUCAUUGAUACAUCACCCCAGAACUCUUCAUGGAGCAGAAAAUUGUGUCUAGGAGGAGUGGUGGGCAGGACACAUGUCUGCAGGGGCAGUGUGUUGUGGCACCUGUCCCCCUCUGCCCCAGCCUGCUCCAGGCAUCCCUCCGCAGCUCUCCCUGCUUCUUGCUUUUAACUUUCUUAUUUUUAAACCAUGUCUAUUUUUAAUUUGAUUAUAUGUUUAUUAUUUAUUAAGAAAUACUUUCAAAGACACGGCUUCAUUUUAAUUUCAUUUGACUUUUAUGAGGUGAUGGACAAGUGAGAACUAAUAAUAAAUGGCUAGUGACAAACCUUUGCCAAAUCAAACAAACUUUAAUUCAACAGAGAUUUCCAAUAACACCUUCAGUGUUUCAGACCUUCUGUGUCUGUUUUUUUGCCUAUUUCUCAAAUUCCUUUACAGCAAGCACUCUAUGUCACCACUCCCCUUUUGAUGCUAUUUUUAACAAACAUUACUUAGAUUUCAGGCAACAUUGAGCCUCCAUUUAGCUAUCAUUUAUUUAUGUAUUGUAAUCUUGAGUUAGCUCUUUUAUGGCUUUGAACCUUAGAGAUGAUUGUAGCAAUGUUAUCUCUCCCAUAGCAGUAAAAAGAGAGACUUUUCCUCUCCCACUAAGGAGUAUUCAAGGACUAAACAUGGCUGUCAGAAUUGGACUUCAUAAAAAAUCAGCCUUUGUGGGGACAUCUUGUCAGGCUGAUAGUGGAUAAGUGGAGCAGCUGUCUCUGUUCUUCCAUCUGACAGCCUGUCAGAUUCCUUCUCCUCAGAAAAAAGUGGCUGAAUGAGAACUGUGGUUGUUGCUUUGGUUGCAGCCUGCCCUGAGCUGCCAUUUUCUCCAGCUGUUUGGGUAAGUGUAGGGUGUGUGCAUGGGAACUUCAGCAGGUCCCAGGGCCCUGGAUUUGGUGUGUAGGGUGCUGGCUCUUCUGAGCAACUGGUCCAGCCAGGUCUUAACAGAGCCCUGCACAUCGCAGUCUUGCUACUGGAAGAUGUUACAGGACCCAGUCCUGUCAAUGUGCCUAAAGGUAACCUGUUACUAAGUAUAAUUUUUUUAAACUAUCGUCUUUUCAUAGACCUAUCAACAUCUUUCAGCACAGAGUUUCUCUGCCUACUGUAAAUUCAGGCAACAAAUAUUUCCUAUGUUACGACACAGAAUUUAGAAAAAUACAUAUACAUAUUUCAGGUUAUUAUGUGUAUGCAUAUGGUAUGAAAGCUUUUGCUCUCUUUUUUUAAAGUAUGUACAUAAUAUGUAAUAAUUUAUGUUGUAAUGUAAUAAUAUAUAAAAUUAAUGUAUAAAUAAUAAUAUAAUAAUAUUAGUAGUAAUAAUAUAAUAUUAUUAGUAGUGGUGAUAAUAUAUAAAAUUAUAUAUAAUUGUAAUAUAUAUUUAACCAUCUGAAAUUCAACAAUGGUGAAUGCAAGGUCCUGCCCCUGGGGAGGAACAACCCCAGACACCAGUAUAGGCUGAGGGCUGACCUGAUGGGAAAGCAGCUCUGCAAAGAAGGACGUGGAUGUCCUGGUGGACAACAAGCUGCCCAUGAACCAGCACUGUUCCCACAUGGUCAGUGGUAUCCUGGGGUGCAUUAAGCAGAGCAUUCCCAGCAGGCUGAGGGAGAUGAUUCCCCCCCCCCCCCGUUCAGCCCUGGUGAGGCUGCGUCUGGUGUGCUGUGUGCAAUUCUGGCCUCCUCAGCACGAGCUGAGGAGCUGAAGCUCCUGCAGCAGGUUAAGCUGAGGGCUACAAAGGGGAUAAAGGGACUGGAGCAUCUCUCUUAUGAGGACAGGCUGAGGGAAUUGGGCCUGUUCAGCCUUGAGAAGAGACAACUGAGAUGAGGGAACAUCAUCAAUGUCUGUUAGUAUCUGAAGGGAGCGUACCAAGAGAAUGGAACCAAGCUCUUGGUGGUGCCAAGCAAUGGGGCAAGAGAUAAUGGGUAAAAACAGAUUCAGAGGAACUUCCACUUAAAUAUGAGGAAGCAUUUAUUCACUGAGCAGGUGGCCGUGCCCUGGAACAGGUUGGCCAGAGAGGUUGUGGAGUCUCACCUACUGGAGAUGUUCAAGAACAGGACAUGAUCCUGUAUCGUGGUCACCAAGUUGACCCUGCAUUAGCAGAUAGGUUGGACCAGAUGACCCAUUGUGGUCCCUUCCAAUCUGACCCAUUCUGUUAUAUCUUCUCAUCUAUGGGUAGAUAAUAACAGCAAGCCAACAGCAUUAUUCAUUCCUUGCUGAUUUGUCAUGCUGCAUAACAAAAGAACUGCAGUAAUGCCUGUUUUGUUGUUCUUGUACCCCUCUAGGGCUUUUUUAUUAUUAGUCUUUUGCUAAUUUGCUUAUCUCGAUGGCAUUCUUUGGCACUGAAUUAUCUGCAUUCCAAUGUGCAAAUGUAUUUCUUUGCUUUGGUAAUUGCCUUUUUAUAUGAUGAUUGUCUACCUCCCUUAAGAUAAGAACAAGGUCCUGUAAGAUGGUUGUUGAUUUGAAUUUGUGUAUAUUAAAAAGUGAAAUGAGAACUAAAAAAAGUUUCCUCAGUUCUAAAGACGAUAGCAAAAUAGGAGUACCAGAUAAAGGAAAACUGCUGACAUGAAGGCACAUCUGAUGAAAAAUGUACAUUGCUUAGGUUAGAGACUGAUGUACGCAAAAACUUUUAUACAACUCAGUGAU